GAUCCUGGAUGCGUAGAGUUGAUCCUGGCUCAGUCGUAACAAGGUAGCCGUAGAGUUUGAUCCUGGNCUCAGUCGUAACAAGGAAUCCGUAUGGACAACCUGCCUCAAGGCUGGGGAUAACAUUUGGAAACAGAUGCUAAUACCGAAUAAAACUUAGUGUCGCAUGACACAAAGUUAAAAGGCGCUUCGGCGUCACCUAGAGAUGGAUCCGCGGUGCAUUAGUUAGUUGGUGGGGUAAGGCCUACCAAGACAAUGAUGCAUAGCCGAGUUGAGAGACUGAUCGGCCACAUUGGGACUGAGACACGGCCCAAACUCCUACGGGAGGCUGCAGUAGGGAAUCUUCCACAAUGGGCGAAAGCCUGAUGGAGCAACGCCGCGUGUGUGAUGAAGGCUUUCGGGUCGUAAAGCACUGUUGUAUGGGAAGAACAGCUAGAAUAGGAAAUGAUNUUUAGUUUGACGGUACCAUACCAGAAAGGGACGGCUAAAUACGUGCCAGCAGCCGCGGUAAUACGUAUGUCCCGAGCGUUAUCCGGAUUUAUUGGGCGUAAAGCGAGCGCAGACGGUUUAUUAAGUCUGAUGUGAAAGCCCGGAGCUCAACUCCGGAAUGGCAUUGGAAACUGGUUAACUUGAGUGCAGUAGAGGUAAGUGGAACUCCAUGUGUAGCGGUGGAAUGCGUAGAUAUAUGGAAGAACACCAGUGGCGAAGGCGGCUUACUGGACUGCAACUGACGUUGAGGCUCGAAAGUGUGGGUAGCAAACAGGAUUAGAUACCCUGGUAGUCCACACCGUAAACGAUGAACACUAGGUGUUAGGAGGUUUCCGCCUCUUAGUGCCGAAGCUAACGCAUUAAGUGUUCCGCCUGGGGAGU
rnacentral:rRNA from 1 species